CUGAGGUCCUGAAUAUUGUUGAAUGCCUUGAUUACACCCUGAGGUCCUGAAUAUUGUUGAAUGCCUUGAUUACACCCUGAGGUCCUGAAUAUUGUUGGAUGCCUUGAUUACACCCUGAGACACUGAAUAUUGAUGGAUGCCUUGAUUACACCCUGAGGUCCUGAAUAUUGUUGGAUGCCUUGGUUACACCCUGAGGUCCUGAAUAUUGUUGAAUGCCUUGAUUACACCCUGAGUCUCAACAAUAUUCAGGUUCUUGGGGUGUAACCAAGGCAUCCAACAAUAUUCAGUAUUCAGAGUUUGACUGUUAUUCAAGGUAGGUAGAAAAGUAUUCAGAGUUUUAUCAGUAUUCAGAGUUUAACCAGUGUUCUGAGUUUGACCGUACUUUAAAAUGAGUACAAAAGUAUUCGGAGUGUGACCAUAGUUUAAGGAUAGCGUAGCCGGCCGACAGAAAAGUAUU
ensembl:lncRNA